ensembl:lncRNA TMEM30A-DT TMEM30A divergent transcript
GAGCUACGGUGACACUUCGCGUGCGGUGUAGGCGCAUCUUCGCUCUGUUGGCCGUGGCUUUAGCUUUCUCUGAAGGGAGUCGGAGCAUUUAAAAGGCGGCCUCAAGGUGGAUUGAGUCGGGGGAGGAUUAGCAGUAUUUGCUUAGGUUGUAAAACCGCGACUUUAUCUAAUAAAUCGCCAUUCAAGGUGCAAAUACAAACUUGGAACAGAGGUGGAGUCUCGCUCUGUCGCCCAGGCUGGGGUGGAGUGACGCGAUCUCGGCUCACCGCAAGCUCCGCCUCCCGGGUUCACGCCAUUCUCCUGUCUCAGCCUCCCCAGUAGCUGGGACUACAGGCGUCCACCACCACGCCCGGCUAAUUUUUUGUACUUUUAGUAGAGACGGGUUUCACCGUGUCAGCCAGGAUGGUCUCGAUCUCCUGACCUCGUGAUCUGCCCGCCUCAGCCUCCCUAUAUGUUUUAAAAUAUAAAUUUAUUCUUAUAAAAAUAAAUUUAAACUAGAUUGAGGUAGUAAUUACAACAGUCCAGCACAUUAUGGAUAAUUAAUAUUUAUAUUUAUUUGGCUGGUUUUUCUUUUAUAGUAAACUUUAUGCCUUAAUGAACAUUUAUCAGUAUGACUCACUUCAUUCAGUCAUUGAAUAACUAUUUAUUGAGGCUGUAUACUGUGCUAGGUAGGCAUGGAACUACAUGCAUGAUCAAAAUGAGACAGAUUCCUAACAUCACUGAGAUUAUACACAGCAGGGGAAAGAAAAUAUUCAAACUUCAAAUAGUUUCUUCAUCCAAAAAAUUUAUUAUUAGUACCUCCUUGUCAACAUAUGGUAUAUGUUGUGAGUGCAGAAACUUAGGGUUUAUCAAUAACAUGAAGAAAUUUCUACCUAUUAUUUUCACAUCCAUCCCAAAUACCUAGUAUUUAAGUUUUAUUUUUACUUAUGUAGUUAGUAUAUAAGUAAACAUUAAUUAAAUCGUAUUAUGCCAUAGACUUAUAGGUUCAUAGUAAUUACACACAGUGCAUGAUUACCUGCCAAAAAGAAAAUGUUUUCUUAAUUUGGUGUCGUUAACUUUACCUCAUGAUGACCAAUAGGUGGAGCUAUUUCCAUUUUUUCCCUCAGCCUUUUGGCUUGAAUUUGAGGUAGAUAAGAAAGCCAAGUAAGAUGAACUAUAGAAUGUCUUAUAUACCUAAGAAUAUUUAGCUAUGAAGGUUUUCUGAAGCUCUUAAGACAUACAUACUAUAUUGUACUAUACCAGAAGCCCUUAUAAACCAUCUCGUUUUUUUCAUUGAAAAAAUAUUCCAGCUUCAACUUCAAAUGCCUAAAAAUAUAUCAAAAUCUUCAGGCAAACAAUUUUAAGUACUAAUUAAUAUCAUGUAGUUAAAAAUUAGCAUCCAAAAUUAAAAUGAUGUUUCUCACUAAUUUAAAAAAAAAUUCUGCAGUAGAUUCCAAAGAGUAAAAAGACCCAAGUCUCAAAUCUCCCUGGUAAAAUUAAAGUUAUCUCCAAUUUCCUUCCCUUAAGAAAGCAUAGAUAAAGAGUGAAAUCAGAAUUGUUCUUAUUGUGGAUGUAAUUCAGAAAUCUUCUGCCUUUGUUUCCACAGUACAAAAUAAGGGUAUUAGAGAGCAUCUCAAAAAUCCCUUUCAGGGUUAACAUUUUGUAUUACUACAAUACCUUCUUUCUCCUUCAGUGUGCAGCAGUGGAAAUUUACAAAAUGCUAGGAUUAAGGCAAUUUAGAGUUGCCUUGUCUUAAUCCUAGCAUUUUGCACAACUUAGAGUUGCCUUGUCUUAAUCCUAGCAUUUUGCACAACUUAAGAGUUGCCUUGUCUUAAUCCUAGCAUUUCAAAAUCUCCAUCAUAGUAAUAAGGGUCCGUACACAGAAGAAACAAUGUCUUGGUUGGACCAUAACAUUUAAUUACUGUAUUUAAAUUAGCAAACUCAUAAUCCAUGCAUCCUAUGUAUGCUAAUGCUAUUAAUCAAAUGUGUUAUUAAAACAAAUGUCUCAGAAAUACUUGAUAAUGCUAAAUAAGAGUUUAUCUUAUAUAAAUUGUAC